UACGUAGGGGGCAAGCGUUGUCCGGAAUCAUUGGGCGUACAGAGCGUGUAGGCGGCCCGGUAAGUCCGCUGUGAAAGUCCAGGGCUCAACCCUGGGAUGCCGGUGGAUACUGUCGGGCUCGAGUCCGGAAGAGGAGUGUGGAAUUCCUGGUGUAGCGGUGAAAUGCGCAGAUAUCAGGAGGAACACCAAUGGCGAAGGCAGCACUCUGGGACGUGACUGACGCUGAGACGCGAAAGCGUGGGGAGCAAACAGG
rnacentral:rRNA from 1 species